UCUCUCUCUCUCUCUCUCUCUCUCUCUCUCUCUCGAUUGGAAGAAGGAGAGCUGCUAGAAGACCUCCUUAUCAUUCAGAUCCAGAUCCAAAUCAGUUCAAGGUUCAGACUAGAGCCAUGUCUUUGCAAAAAUAUAUUUGCUCAAGGGAGGAUAUCUUAAACUAUGCUACCAAGUUGCUAAAGGCAGAGCUCCCUCUUUUUGUGAGGCUUCUUGCUCAUCUAAUGAAGAAUACGACGACAAGGAAAAUGUUGACCCUCAUCUGCACAAGGUGGUCGAUGUUGGGUUCGAACUUUGCUUACCUAUCAAAAAAAAAAAAAAAAAGUAAUAGAUUAAUCGACUUCCUGAACAAUUCUAUGCUGAGGUUGACCUAUUCAAUUAGUUAAAUACAGGUUCUUGGGUUAUGGGAUUUGCUCAAGUGAAACUGCUGUUGGGUACUGUAGAG